AACCAAGUUGAGCCUAGUUCUGGGCUGCUUCCCUGUUCUGGUAAUUAAACUUUGGGACAUUAAGGACAUGGGCUAGGAGAUAUUUCUCUAUUCAUUUCCCUCCUGGCCUACCAGG
rnacentral:snoRNA from 1 species